AUGAUAUGUUGAAAAUAGAAAAAGUUCCCUGGACUGACGAUUUGAAUCAUGACUGCAUAAAUUAACUCAAGUCUUCCAAGCCACCUUUUGUCUUCAGUUCCAGGUUACAGAAAUCAAAUCAAUCCCAGGGUCCUUUUACUGUGAGCAAUUGAGCACAAAGUGGUGGAUUCUCCAGCUCUUCUUUCCACAUCUAAAGUGAAUGCCUUCCUGGAAGAUACACUGUAGUCAAAAAGAAGACUGGGCUGACUAAAAGAGUGAAAUGAUGAAAUUGUGUUAGUUAUGUAGGAAGUCAUACUUCUAAAAUCUA